rnacentral:rRNA from 1 species
UAGUCCACGCCGUAAACGAUGUCUACUAGGUUGUGGGGGUUCUGACACCUUCACAGUCGAAGCAAAAGUGUUAAGUAGACCGCCUGGGGAGUACGGUCGCAAGGCUAAAACUCAAAGGAAUUGACGGGGGCUCACACAAGCGGUGGAGCAUGUGGAUUAAUUCGAAGCAACGCGCAGAACCUUACCUGGGUUUGACAUGCAUGGAUGCCAAUCUGGAAACAGAGGAAGCUGCCCUCGGGUGAAACUUGCACAGGUGCUGCAUGGCUGUCGUCAGCUCGUGUCGUGAGAUGUCGGGUUAAGUCCUUUAACGAGCGAAACCCUUACCGUUAGUUGCCAGCGCGUCAUGGCGGGGACUCUAGCGGGACUGCCGGUGUUAAACCGGAGGAAGGUGGGGAUGACGUCAAGUCCUCAUGGCCUUUAUGCCCAGGGCUUCACACGUGCUACAAUGGUAGGUACAAAGCGACGCGAUACCGCGAGGUGGAGCAAAUCGCAAAAACCUGCCCCAGUU